rnacentral:rRNA from 1 species
UAGGUGACCUGCGGAAGGAUCAUUACAAGUGAGGCCACCGAACGUUGGAAACAGCGGUUAGGAGCUUACACCCACCCGUGUUUACAUACUAUUGUUGCUUUGGCGGGCCGUGGCCUCCACUGCGGGCUCUGCUCGUGUGUGCCCGCCAGAGAACCAAACUCUGAAUGUUAGUGAUGUCUGAGUACUAUCUAAUAGUUAAAACUUUCAACAACGGAUCUCUUGGUUCUGGCAUCGAUGAAGAACGCAGCGAAAUGCGAUAAGUAAUGUGAAUUGCAGAAUUCAGUGAAUCAUCGAAUCUUUGAACGCACAUUGCGCCCUGUGGUAUUCCGCAGGGCAUGCCUGUUCGAGCGUCAUUUAACCACUCACGCCUAGCGUGGUAUUGGGGCACGCGGUCUCCGCGGCCCUCAAAAUUAGUGGCGGCGCCGGUGGGCUCUAAGCGUAGUACAUACUCCCGCUAUAGAGUUCCCCCGGUGGCUCGCCAGAACCCCCAAUUUUUACAGGUUGACCUCGGAUCAGGUAGGGAUACCCGCUGAACUUAAGCAUAUCAAUAAGCGGAGGAAAAGAAACCAACAGGGAUUACCUCAGUAACGGCGAGUGAAGCGGUAACAGCUCAAAUUUGAAAGCUGCCAACAGGCCGCGUUGUAAUUUGUAGAAGCUGCUUUGGGUGUCGGCCCGGUCUAAGUUCCUUGGAACAGGACGUCAUAGAGGGUGAGAAUCCCGUAUGUGAUCGGUGCCGUUGCCCGUGUAAAGCGCUUUCGACGAGUCGAGUUGUUUGGGAAUGCAGCUCAAAAUGGGUGGUAAAUUUCAUCUAAAGCUAAAUAUUGGCCAGAGACCGAUAGCGCACAAGUAGAGUGAUCGAAAGAUGAAAAGCACUUUGGAAAGAGAGUUAAACAGUACGUGAAAUUGUUGAAAGGGAAGCGCUUGCAACCAGACUUGCGGGCGGUCGAUCAUCCGAGGUUCUCCCCGGUGCACUCGAUCGUUCUCAGGCCAGCAUCGGUUUCCGGGGUGGGAUAAAGGCGGUGGGAAUGUGGCUCUUCGGAGUGUUAUAGCCCACCGUGCAAUGCCGCCACUGGGGACCGAGGACCGCGCUCGG